UGUCAUUAAAGAAUUUAUCAGAUUAUUGUCAAACUAAAAACAUAUUGCACACACCCAAUGUUAGAAUAAACGUAACAAAAACAUUUUUUAAUGAGAGAGUGUUUUAUUAGUAAUGAAAUAAUUAUUUUUAACGCAAUAUUGCCCGAAUGCUUAUGGAUUUUUCACCAUGAGUUCUUGUUCGUGUGUUGGAAUACAAAAGAAUUCUUGUAGCUGUGCUAUCUUCAGCAAUAUAUUAUGUGCACGCGAUUCAAAAAGUUCUAAUUAUAUUUUUGUAUCGAAUAAACAAAAUCUAGACUAUGCAUAUGAAAGGAAAAAGCCGGGUAUAUUUCAUAAGAUUUUACGAGAUGUGUAUGAUAUGUGUGUCGCCUACAACAUAAGACACUGUGGAUAUAUAGCUGGGAACGGAAGAGAUAGGAAUAUUAAACAUGCACUUUUGGAUUGUAUUCUGCUCUUGUGUUUCCUUGUCGCCAAUACUGUGGUUUUUCUAACACUACUUACAAGAACUGUCUGUCACAUGUCUAGCAUUAUAUUUAAUUUAUUUACCUGGAUACAAAGAACUCUCUCUAAAAAUCUCAAAAUAUACCUAAACAAUGAAUACUCUGAAAAAGAAAAAGCUUGGAUGUCAUCUAUGGAUUCUCAAAAAAUGAAAUAGUACAGGAAAGAGAAGAAACAUGGAAAUUCAUAGCUAGUUGAUGUUCGACUUUGUAUAAUAAAAUUAUUUUUAUUU